rnacentral:lncRNA from 1 species
GAAUGUGAGAGAGAGAAAAGAAGAGAGAAAAGCUUCAUUUUCUACUUCCAUUUUUGCUUGGAUCUUGAAGUUGUACCAUAAAACUAACAAUCUACUCCAUAAAAAGUGGUACUCAAGGAAGAUUGAAAGUCUUGGUGGAGAGAUUUUGGAGUGUUAAGCUAAGAUUUGCUAUCUUCAAGACGGUGAUCAAGGUAUGGGUUUCAAGAAGCUAUAUUUACCUUAGAUACACGUUUAUAAGUGAUUUUUAGGUUUGAUUAUGGUGAUUUUCAUGACUUGUUAGUUGAUUUGAGUGGUGAAAUGAAAUUUUCAACUUUGGUAAUGAGAUUUCCAAUUUUAUAUUAUUGCUUUAAGUUGAAUCUUGCUUUAUUAGCUUUGCUAAGUGGAUAUACUAGUUUGUAUAUGUUGAUUUGGCUAAAAAUAUGAGGAAUUCCAGCUUUGAUGAGUAGUUUUAGGGUUGAUAUGCAAAAUUCCAGCAUUUGGUGGUGAAUUUCAAUCAAUUUCCUGAGCUUUCCGGUAGUUGUAGGAGAUGAACUAGAACCUAAUUUUUAUACCGUUGGAAACCUCUAUGAAUCUAGUUUUAAACACCGCUGACGGAGCUCAAUUUUGAUUUUUCUACACCAAGUUUUAAUCAUUUUACCAAAACUGUUCAGUUAUCCUAUUUUGGCUCCGACAGAAUUUUUAUGUCUCUGUUUUUGCCAAUUUUGACCCUGGUAACGUUUGAACUGGGGUUUGAUGCCUUCAUAAAAGUUGUAGGCCUCUGUCUUAGCUUCGAAAUGCCAUCAAAUUUAUCUCGAUUCGAUAUACCUAACUACAGUUAUGACCAAAAUACCGAAGGAUGACAAAUCUGCCACUUAUAAUUUCUUCUUUAAACUGGUUUCCAGCUUUGAUAUCCAUGGUGAUAAGUUUAUUAUUUGGUUAGUUUGGUUGGUUUUGAGGCCUUGAAUAGAUGUAUGUUGUUGGUUAUCACUUGUGGUUGGAUUGGAGGUUUGUUGGCUUGUGAAUCCAAGUUGUACUUGGAUGGGAAAAGUAAGAAAAUAGAGGAAAUGCUGCCCAAAUUUCUAUUACUUGCUUUUAUGUAUAUUAGUGAGAUAUAAGGUUUGAUUUUGGGUUAGUUGGAUCUUAAGUUACAUAUGUAUCCUUGAAUGCACUUCAAUAGUAGUAUAUGAGUUAUUUUUUUAUCAAGAUUUGGUAUCAACUAAGAUGAAAAGUGUUAGUUUUAUCUCGAAAAUUUUGAAUUACAUUUGCUCACUUUAAUUUGGGAUUGGUUGUUCUUUCAACUACUGAUUUCUGGAAUUUUCUUUGGUUAUAUUUGAAUUUGAGAAAUGACUCAAGAUUUUUCAUGACUUGAAAGUUCAAAUGUUAUUAUUCACUCUAAAACUAUAUUUUCAUAUUUACACUAGUACUUUCUGGAUUUUUUAUGGUUCAUCUAGAUUUUGAUUAGUUGAACCAUAAUACCUUAUUUUGACUGAUUUAGGUUUCUUUGGUGAUCCGGAGUACAACUCGGAAGGAAACUUUUGACAUAUCUCUUGCUCAUACUGGUGAGUAUUCCAAUUGCAUGUUACCUGCUUAUUGUUGCUAGAAAUUUACUAAACACCUGAUUUGACAUUUCAUAGGCGAGUGUGUACUUUAUCGCACUUAACUUAACUCAACUAAACCCUUGAUAUCUCAUUCAUGAAUGUACAAGUAACUUGUUUUGCAUGUGACCUAUCUAUUGAUUUGAAAUACUUGAAAUGCUUGGAAAUGUAACAUGCUAGACAUUAUUUGUGACUUGGUCCGGGUUAGGCGAGUGUGCCCUUAUUCGCACUCGUCCUCCCCUUCGUGAAUGAUCUUGUACUUGCUCGAACCUGAUUGACCUGUACUUGUAUUUGUGCUUGUGCUUGACUUAUAAGUGCUGAGCGGCAGCAUGUACUACAUUCAAUCCGAGUAGGAGGUGUCUCUCAUUCUGUCUCCGUACUUUUCUCGAUUAAGUCGAUUGGUCAUUGACUAUACUGACUACUUGGGAAGCCAAACCCCACUGGUUAGUUAAUCGAGUCGAGUCGGCAAGAGGCUGGUCGAUUAGAUAACGAACCAUGGGUCUUUAGUUUUGUUGAGUAGAAUGUUAUCUCCUCGACUAAUUGGUAUGUUCGAGUAUUACCACCAGUGUUUAUCUUGGAGUUUGAGCCUGACAAGGGGUUUGAAUGGUGGGCGGAGAUUGGAGUUAAGUAAUACUCUACUAGACUUGUUAUAAUUUCAUGAUUGACGGAGUGUCAACAGAUUUUGAACAAGUGGCCACGGAACCUGCUCCCAAGAGCAGAUUGUAUCCUUUUACUUGAAAAUCUUGGAUAUCUAUGUGAAGUGUUAUUGCUCAUUUAUAUGAACUCUUAUGCUCGCUACUUGAAUAUUCCAAGUUUUUACAUAUGACCAACUUGCUACUUGGGUCUGCAUGAAGUUUUGAAACUUCACUGAGUUUUGGCUCAUCCUAUUAGUUUUUGUUUUCCUUACAGGGGAAUACGAGCGCGGGUGUGAG